rnacentral:rRNA from 1 species
GAUGAACGCUGGCGGCGUGCCUAAUACAUGCGAGUCGAGCGAACAGACGAGGAGCUUGCUCCUCUGACGUUAGCGGCGGACGGGUGAGCAACACGUGGAUAACCUACCUAUAAGACUGGGAUAACUUCGGGAAACCGGAGCUAAUACCGGAUAAUAUAUUGAACCGCAUGGUUCAAUAGUGAAAGACGGUUUUGCUGUCACUUAUAGAUGGAUCCGCGCCGCAUUAGCUAGUUGGUAAGGUAACGGCUUACCAAGGCAACGAUGCGUAGCCGACCUGAGAGGGUGAUCGGCCACACUGGAACUGAGACACGGUCCAGACUCCUACGGGAGGCAGCAGUAGGGAAUCUUCCGCAAUGGGCGAAAGCCUGACGGAGCAACGCCGCGUGAGUGAUGAAGGUCUUCGGAUCGUAAAACUCUGUUAUUAGGGAAGAACAAAUGUGUAAGUAACUAUGCACGUCUUGACGGUACCUAAUCAGAAAGCCACGGCUAACUACGUG